rnacentral:rRNA from 1 species
UACGGGGGGGGCAAGCGUUGUUCGGAAUUACUGGGCGUAAAGGGCUCGUAGGCGGCCAACUAAGUCAGACGUGAAAUCCCUCGGCUUAACCGGGGAACUGCGUCUGAUACUGGAUGGCUUGAGAUUGGGAGAGGGAUGCGGAAUUCCAGGUGUAGCGGUGAAAUGCGUAGAUAUCUGGAGGAACACCGGUGGCGAAGGCGGCAUCCUGGACCAAAACUGACGCUGAGGAGCGAAAGCCAGGGGAGCAAACGGG